rnacentral:rRNA from 1 species
AACGAACGCUGGCGGCAUGCCUAACACAUGCAAGUCGAACGAGACCUUCGGGUCUAGUGGCGCACGGGUGCGUAACGCGUGGGAACCUGCCCUUAGGUUAGGAAUAACUCCCCGAAAGGGGUGCUAAUACCGGAUAAUGUCUUCGGACCAAAGAUUUAUCGCCUUUGGAUGGGCCCGCGUUGGAUUAGCGAGUUGGUAGGGUAAAAGCCUACCAAGGCGACGAUCCAUAGCUGGUCUGAGAGGAUGAUCAGCCACGCUGGGACUGAGACACGGCCCAGAAUCCGACGGGAGGCAGCAGUGGGGAAUAUAGGACAAUGGGCGAAAGCCUGAUCCAGCAAUGCCGCGGGAGUGAUGAAGGCCUUAGGGUUGUAAAGCUCUUUUACCCGGGAUGAGAAUGACAGUACCGGGAGAAUAAGCACCGGCUAACUCCGUG